GACGAAGGGGGCUAGCGUUGUUCGGAAUUACUGGGCGUAAAGCGCGUGUAGGCGGUUGCCCAAGUCGGGUGUGAAAGCCUUGAGCUCAACUCAAGAAAUGCACUCGGUACUGGGUGACUAGAGGACCGGAGAGGAUAGUGGAAUUCCCAGUGUAGUGGUGAAAUACGUAGAGAUUGGGAAGAACACCAGUGGCGAAGGCGGCUAUCUGGACGGUUUCUGACGCUAAGACGCGAAAACGUGGGGAGCAAACAGG
rnacentral:rRNA from 1 species